rnacentral:snRNA from 1 species
AUUGCUUCUUGGCUUUUUGGCUAAGAUCAAGUGUAGCACCUGUUCUUAUCAGUUUAAUAUCUGAUAUGUCAUCUGAGAACUAUACAGUGGUACCUUGGUUGUUGAACUUAAUCCGUU